rnacentral:lncRNA from 1 species
CCAGAUACACAUAUGUACAUACAGGAUAUGCAGGGACAAAGAUGGACAGACAGAGGGAAUGGCUAGCCUGUGACCGGCCCAACUGGAGACUCAUUCCGUGGACCAGAACGACCCUGACUAUACCAAUGAAAUGUUAGGUUCACAGACAGGACCCUAGUGUAACUGUCUUCGGAGAGCUCCGCCCAGUAGCCUGUAGAAACAGAUGCAGAAACCCUCAACCAAACAUUAGACCGAGUUCCAGAGUCUAAUGUGGAAAAGUUGGGGGAAGGAGUGAGAGAUCCUGAGGGGACAAGAACUCCGCAGGAAGACCAACAGAGCCAAAUAACUUGGAACCCUGGGGGUUCUCAGAGACUCAACCACCAGUAAGAGAGCAAGAUCCCCUCACUGCCUGCCCCUGUCGGCCAAUACAUACGUAGCAGAAGUGCAGUAAGGUCUUCUCAUAGGUCCCCCAAAACUGGAUUCAGCUGUCCCUGAAUCUGUUGCCUGCCUGUGAAUCCUGAUCCCCUAACUGGUCUGCCUUCUCUGCCAUCAAUGGGAGAGCAUGUAACCAGCCCUGCGGUGACUUGAUAUGCUAGAAUGAGGUGAUACCCAGGGGAAGCCUUCUCCCUUCUCAGAGGAGAAGGGAAGGAGGGGAAGGGAAAGGAGCUGUGUGAGAGGGGACCAGGAGGAAGGUGGGGUAUGUAUGUGAUCAGAAUGUAAAGUGAAUAAAUAAAUUGACUAAUUAAAAAAUAAACCUAAA